CUGUUGCUUCUACAAGACCCAGCCUCCCCAGGCAGCGCACUUUGUUCCUUCGCUUCUAAGUCACCCUGAGAGACCAUGUUUGUGUCGUUGUGGGUGUGAUCCUCAUCUUUGUCUUCAUGAAACGAGAGCCUACAUGCUUUCACUCUUCCAGGCUGGAGUGCAAUGGCGCGAUCUCAGCUUACUGCGACCUCCGGCUCCCGGUUUCAAGCGAUUCUCCUGCCUCAGCCUCCCGAGUAGCCGGGAUUGCAGGCGCCUGCCACCACCCUGGCUAAUUUUUUGUAUUUUUAGUAAAGACGGGAUUUCACCAUGUUGGCCAGGCUGGUCUCGAACUCCUGACCUCAGGGGAUCCACCCGCCUCGGCCUCCCAAAAUGCUGGGAUUAGAGGCGUGACCCGCCGCCCCCGGCCGCUUUCACUAUUUCUAAGCCCUUUCCCUGCGGUGUGUUGGUAAAGCGGAACCCUGCAGCCAGGGGUCAAUUCUAGUUUCUAAGUAUAGCGGGAGUCGCUUCUGAACGAAGUUUGUUCUGCUUUGUUUGGUUUUUAACGACGCGUUGUGCUCGGAAUACACAGUUCCGCGCAACUCAGAAUUCCUCAGGUGCAUUUUCAACACCUACAAUGUGCCUGACGCAGGGCCAGGUCCUGGGACUACAGACAUGAAAUAUCCAGUCUUUGAGGAGUCCAUUUUCUUCCAGGAAGCAAUAUUUUAAAUUUGGAAGUGAUUGGCCAUUCCCCAAUCCCCACUUCCAAACCAAACGCACGAAACACUACUGAAUAUGAUCAAUACUGCCUUUGUGUUUAAUUUCCUCUCCUGGGUAGUCAGCCGCCAAACCAGUGAGCAAUUAUUAGGCGCUUGGCACGUGCCAGCGCUGUGAAUCCAGUGGGCAGAUACUGUUAGACUGGAGCCAAAUGAAAACAGAACCACAUCUUGAAAGGGCUGAAAGACAACUUGCUACCCAUAUUUCUAUAUUCAAUGAAAGGCUCUUCCAGAAUGAAGACAAAAUGAUGACAUUCAGAGCUAAACAAAAACUAACAGAACUCAUCACCAGAAGACUCAUACUUGAAGAAAUGUUACAGAAAGUUACUCAUGUCGAAGAAAAAUGAUAUCAGAUGGAAAAUUUAGAUGUUCUAGAAGGAAUGAAGAACACUGAAAAUGAUAUAAUGCGUAUGACAACUAAAGAAUGAAGGAUGAAGAGAGAAGAGGUGGCUGCUGGGUAAGGCCACCUGUAUGAGUCUAACAGUCUGCAAGGUUCUUACAUUUUCCAUGAAGUGCUACAAUAUUAAUGCUAAGUGGACAAAAAAAAUUAAGAAUGUGUGUAUUGUAAUUCCUAAGCAAUGACUAAAAAUAGUUGAAAGAAAUAUAGGUAAAAUGAUAACAUACAAAUUACAAUGGAAUUCCAAAAUCUCUUUUUUUC
rnacentral:lncRNA from 1 species